CACGGCACGCGAACAUCACCCAGCCCACGCUGGACCUGGGCUCGGGCCGCGCGCUGCUGCUGCUGCCAACCGGGGAGGGUUUUACUUUUAGUGGGAUCUGCCGGGUGACUUGCAUCUAUGGCCAGGUGGAAAUAUACGGCCAUGUCAUCAAACAAGGGCAGCCUGCCCGAGAUGUUUAUUCUACCUACACCCACGCCUACCUGACCAUCAACGGGGUUGAGUACCCAGAGCCUGAGAAAAGUGAGAAGGAGAUCAGGAGAGAGAUCCGGGCUCUGCUCAAGCCUCACAUGAGACUGGAUGACAGAAACUGGGCAAUACAGAAUUUCCCUCCCCUGGGUUCCGUGGUACUGCUGGAGCAGCUUCGGACGUCUGCUGUAGACUUCAUGAGCUUCUACGCGUGUGCAUCUUAUGUCUUCUUGCAGGAGAAUACUCCUAUGCGGACCAAUGCUGAGUAUUUACUUUUGAAGAAGAUUGGCCUCAGAAGGCAGAGGAAGAAGAGAGGCAUCUGCUUGAGUGAGAGUGGCCUUUGUGCCCUGGAAGAGCUAGUCAGUGUGUGCUGCGUAGAUGGCUGCCCUGUGAUCCUGUUGUGUGGCCCUUGUGACAUUGGGAAGUCAACAUUCAGUAGAAUACUGAUUAACCGGUUACUGAACAGGUAAGCAUGCUUGUGUUUUCGCGUGGUCAUCGGGGCGUGAAGUGUGAUUCAAAUGGAGAGACUUGGUUUUUCUUUGAUCUUCUGAGGCAUGGUCUCGCUCUCUAGACCAGUCUAGCCCUGGACUCUUAAGUGAUUCUCCUGCCUCAGCCUCCCCAGUACUGUGACUACUGUUAUAAAGCGCCAUGCCCAGCUUGAUGGAGAGAUUGAGGGUGGGAUUGUGUUGAGCUCUGUGUGCUGUUGGCUGGGCACUCUUCAUUGUGGUGACAGUGCUCACAUAUGACCCUG
rnacentral:lncRNA from 1 species